GAGAGGAGACUGUGCCAACCAGUGGGGCUCUGAUGACGUCUCCCAGCACAGGCACUAGGAUCUCAUGGCCUCUGUGUCAAAACAGUUUCACCGCUUUGCUGGCAGGUCUAAGGUGACAUGGAUAUCAAGACCUGCAGACGGAACUUGACAGUCCCCAGCUCACUGAAAUUGUCCCCCUGUGUCCAGCACCAUGCACCGGACUUUGGUAACUACAUGGAAACUUCUGGGAAAGUGUCGCAAACAGUGGCAGACACGUCUGACAGAAUCUAUUGGUCAAUGAGGGUGGAACCAGCCCAGGAGAAAGAAGUUUGUUGCAGUCAACAAAGAUGAAAAGGAGCUGGAGAUCUGAAGAGCGCUUUGACAUCAGACAUGGAGGUGCAGACUCUGGAGUUGGCCCAACUGCUUUCCUGUCUGGCUCUGGGGAUCACAGUUAAGUGAUUGGACGACUCUCAGACUUUGAACUCUGGACUUUUAACAUUGUUGAGGCGCUAUAGACUAAGGGAACUUUUGAAGUUGGACUAAAUGUAUUUUGCAUUAUGCUAUGUUUAGGUAUGGUCCCCAUAGAGUCAUAUGUUUGAACAAGCUUAUGGAGGCCAGAGAGUGGAAUGUGAUGGUUUGUAUAUGCUCCGCCCAGGGAGUAGCACUAUUAGAAGGUGUGGCCCUGUUGGAGUGGGUGUGGCCUUGUUGGAGUAGGUGUGCCACUGUGGACGUGGGCUUCAAGACCCUCAUCCUAGCUGCCUGGGAGCCAGUAUUCUGUUAGCAGCCUUCAGAUAAAGAUAUAGAAUUCUCAGCUCCUCCUGCACCGUGCCUGCCUGGAUGCCGCCAUGUUCCUGCUUUGAUGGAAAUGGACUGAACCUCUGAACCUGUAAGCCAGCCCUAAUUAAAUGCUGCCCUUAUAAGAGUUA